GGACCUUGAAAAUCCAGGAGAGGGCCACGUGGAGGUGUCGCGCCGGUUCGUACCCAUAUCCGCAGCAGGUCUCUAAGGUAGAGAGUCGUUAGUCGAUAGACUAAUGUAGGUAAGGGAUGUCGGCAAAUUGGAUCCGUAACUUCAGAAUAAGGAUUGGCUCUGAGGAGCGGGACGUGUUGAGCUUGGUCGGGAAGCGGGUCUGGCUGACGUGCCGGGCCUGGGCGAGGUAAGCGCUCGGCGUUCUCGCGCCGAACACGGGAUCCGAGCUCGAUCCGUGCCUUGGCCUCCCGCGGAUCUUCCUUGCUGCAAGACUUCCGUGGCGGCGCGAGCCGUCGCGGUGGUCCUCUUCGGCCGCCAUUCAACUCUCAGCUCAGAACUGGCACGGACUACGGGAAUCCGACUGUCUAAUUAAAACAAAGCAUUGCGAUGGCCCUCGCAGGUGUUGACGCAAUGUGAUUUCUGCCCAGUGCUCUGAACGUCAACGUGAAGAAAUUCUAGCAAGCGCGGAUAAACGGCGGGAGUAACUAUGACUCUCUUAAAGCGCCCAACUCGACGCUCAUGGGUCACCAUGAAAGGCGUUGGUUGCUUAAGACAGCGGGACGGUGGCCAUGGAAGUCGUAAUCCGAUAAGGAAAACCACCCCAGAAGGUCCAUCUAAUCUCCACGUACCUAGUCUCGCACUACCUGUAUCAGUUGGUGCUGGUAGCACCACCAGUAACCUACCUUAGGCAGCUAGACCAGGAGCUACGGGUAGUGAUCACGGAUAUUUACCACUUGCAGCAAUCAACAGCCAAUGGAUUAAUAUAUUGCUGCAAGAGAGACGGGGGACUAGGUUUCCCCAAGCUGGAGACUUUGGUGGUGAGCUCCAGCUUGCGGGCAGGACUAAAAUUCACCGAGUCGGCAGACCCGGUGAGGCGAGCUCUUACGGAAGCCGCAGACAUGGUGAACCGUCUCAGGAACCUGGCGGCGGCCGCACGAAUAAACUGGCCCGUAGACGCACAAGCAAUCAGAAAAUACAAGAACGGAGCCAAGAAACAAGAGCUCGCAGCAUGGGCAGCUCUGUUGUCGCAAGGCAAGUCGGUGGAGUCUCACACCGACGACAAAAUUGGAAAUGCCUGGCUAUAUAAUCCAUCGCUCCUCAAGCCGGGCAGAUUUAUAACGGCCCUCAAAAUGCGCACCAAUACCAUCGCUAACAGAACAACGUUAGCUAGAGCUGGCCCGGUGGCGGACGUAAAAUGUCCGAAAUGUAAGACCAAGCCAGAGACACUCGCACACAUCCUGGGGCAGUGCAUAAUUAUGAAAGAGCAUACGAUACGCCACGACGAGAUCGUAAACCUAGUCAUAGACAAAAUAACACAGAGAGACAAGGAGGUAGCGGUAACGAGGGAAACAACUUAUAAAAUGCCCUCGGGCGGGAAUCUCAAACCCGAUUUGGUGGUACAAAGCCGUAAAGGGGUCUUCGUGGUCGAUGUUACGGUCCGCCACGAAGACAACGAUUACCUUGCUCAGGGACAUAAAGACAAGCUACAAAAAUAUAGCCACUUGCUACCUCCCCUGCAGCGCGAUUUAGGAGCUAGCGCUGCAGAAGUCCUACCCAUUGUGGUAGGAACGCGAGGGGCGAUGCCCAAGGAGACGGUCAAAAGCUUGUCCAAACUUAACAUCACAGACCGAAAAACGCUCAUCACGAUGUCGAUGAUAGCGUUGCGUAAUUCCAUCGAGCAAUAUCACAUGUUCAUCGAUUACGACGCCCCUCGCCAUUCGGCGGAGGCCCCCAGCUUCGUCGGAUAAAAACUUCCGACCCACUAAGCUUCGAAGCCAAAUGACGCACUACGGGCAGCCUACUCGUUAAUUUAUUUGUAGUCGUCCUACUUAUUAUAUACACACGGACCACAACGUCUGGGCCUUUUACACCCAGCGUUGGAAGACUUUUAUCUAUUUAUUUAUUUAUCUAUUUAUUUAUUUACUUAUUUAUUUGAUAACUGGCGGAGAAUGCGAGUCGUUGGGCUUGGAACCUGCCAUUCCGAUCCACGACGGCAGAGCCAGAGCGCACCGGAGCACGGAUUGCCGCUCUGGGCGGGAACCUCCACGUGGUGUCCCUGGAAACGGGCGUACAAGAUACGCCCGGCUAAUGCCCGCUUUCUCAAAGCUCGAGGACUCUGCUCGAUCUAAUUUUUCCGACCCAUGGCGAGAGUUCCCUGGCAGGUCAGUCAGACGGGUUUCGUUGUGCUGCGGCGCAACCGGGUCGGAAGUCCAGAUGGUACGAAAUGAGCAAGAUGAAAAAGACCGUAAUGCACGGAAUCUAAUUAAUCUGUACACAUAGUGUAACAUCGUUGGGAAUUCCGUGCAAACAAGGAGCACCACCAGCAAACUCGCCGGUGCUCCCAGAGCCGGGCUCUGUUGUUCCUGGACACCACACCAUCCGCAAAAGUGAAAGUCCGCGGCCACGAAGCCGCGCAGAAUUUAGCCAAAUGCCUCGUCAUCUAAUUAGUGACCCGCAUGAAUGGAUUAACGAGAUUCCCACUGUCCCUAUCUACUGGGAGUGUCUAUGAAUCACAGGGUAGUAGUGU
rnacentral:ncRNA from 1 species